rnacentral:misc_RNA from 1 species
GAAAUGCGAUACUUGGUGUGAAUUGCAGAAUCCCGUGAACCAUCGAAUCUUUGAACGCAUAUUGCGCUCUCUGGUAUUCCGGAGAGCAUGCUUGUUUGAGUAUCAGUAAACACCUCAACUCCCUUUUUUCUUUUUUGAAAUGAGGGAGCUGGACUUGAGUGAUCCCAACACUUUUCUUCACUGAAAAGUGGCGGGUCACUUGAAAUGCAGGUGCAGCUGGACUUUUCUCUGAGCUAUAAGCAUAUCUAUUUAGUCUGCCUAAAAAACAGAUUAUUACCUUUGCUGCAGCUAACAUAAAGGAGAUGAGUUCUUGUGCUGACUGAUGCAGGAUUCACAGAGACAGCUUCGCGGCUGACUUUGUAAACUCGAUCUCAAAUCAAGUAAGACUACCCGCUGAACU